rnacentral:lncRNA from 1 species
GUUAGAAAUUAUAAGAUCUGCAUGUUACCGAGUGUAUCAAGAACACAAUAUUACAUACUCAUAUGGAAGUACAGCAAGUUAUUUAUACAAUAUUUCAGGAAACAGUUGUGACUGGGUAAAAAAGAAUCUAAAUAUACCCAUAGUGUACACUGUGCAUAUGAAACAUGAAGGAGGCCUUUUACCUCAACCAAAACACAUACAAUCCCUGAGUAAUGAAUUUACCACUAUUAUAAAAGAUACAAUCAUGAUAGCUAAAGAUAUUUAUGGGCCUUUAUUUAAUAAUCAAAAACUUUUAUGCAUUAAUUUUCUUGUAAAACUUUUCAUUUUAAUAAAUUUAUAACACUUAUCAUACC